rnacentral:rRNA from 1 species
CAGGCUUAACACAUGCAAGUCGAGGGGCAGCAUGGUCUUAGCUUGCUAAGGCCGAUGGCGACCGGCGCACGGGUGAGUAACACGUAUCCAACCUGCCGUCUACUCUUGGACAGCCUUCUGAAAGGAAGAUUAAUACAAGAUGGCAUCAUGAGUCCGCAUGUUCACAUGAUUAAAGGUAUUCCGGUAGACGAUGGGGAUGCGUUCCAUUAGAUAGUAGGCGGGGUAACGGCCCACCUAGUCUUCGAUGGAUAGGGGUUCUGAGAGGAAGGUCCCCCACAUUGGAACUGAGACACGGUCCAAACUCCUACGGGAGGCAGCAGUGAGGAAUAUUGGUCAAUGGGCGAGAGCCUGAACCAGCCAAGUAGCGUGAAGGAUGACUGCCCUAUGGGUUGUAAACUUCUUUUAUAAAGGAAUAAAGUCGGGUAUGCAUACCCGUUUGCAUGUACUUUAUGAAUAAGGAUCGGCUAACUCCGUGCCAGCAGUCGCGGUAAUACGGAGGAUCCGAGCGUUAUCCGGAUUUAUUGGGUUUAAAGGGAGCGUAGAUGGAUGUUUAAGUCAGUUGUGAAAGUUUGCGGCUCAACCGUAAAAUUGCAGUUGAUACUGGAUAUCUUGAGUGCAGUUGAGGCAGGCGGAAUUCGUGGUGUAGCGGUGAAAUGCUUAGAUAUCACGAAGAACUCCGAUUGCGAAGGCAGCCUGCUAAGCUGCAACUGACAUUGAGGCUCGAAAGUGUGGGUAUCAAACAGGAUUAGAUACCCUGGUAGUCCACACGGUAAACGAUGAAUACUCGCUGUUUGCGAUAUACGGCAAGCGGCCAAGCGAAAGCGUUAAGUAUUCCACCUGGGGAGUACGCCGGCAACGGUGAAACUCAAAGGAAUUGACGGGGGCCCGCACAAGCGGAGGAACAUGUGGUUUAAUUCGAUGAUACGCGAGGAACCUUACCCGGGCUUAAAUUGCAGAUGAAUUACGGUGAAAGCCGUAAGCCGCAAGGCAUCUGUGAAGGUGCUGCAUGGUUGUCGUCAGCUCGUGCCGUGAGGUGUCGGCUUAAGUGCCAUAACGAGCGCAACCCUUGUUGUCAGUUACUAACAGGUUCCGCUGAGGACUCUGACAAGACUGCCAUCGUAAGAUGUGAGGAAGGUGGGGAUGACGUCAAAUCAGCACGGCCCUUACGUCCGGGGCUACACACGUGUUACAAUGGGGGGUACAGAGGGCCGCUACCACGCGAGUGGAUGCCAAUCCCCAAAACCUCUCUCAGUUCGGACUGGAGUCUGCAACCCGACUCCACGAAGCUGGAUUCGCUAGUAAUCGCGCAUCAGCCACGGCGCGGUGAAUACGUUCCCGGGCCUUGUACACACCGCCCGUCAAGCCAUGGGAGCCGGGGGUACCUGAAGUGCGUAACCGCGAGGAGCGCCCUAGGGUAAAACUGGUGACUGGGGCUAAGU